GAUGAACGCUGGCGGCGUGCCUAAUACAUGCAAGUCGAACGCUGAAGGAGGAGCUUGCUCUUCUGGAUGAGUUGCGAACGGGUGAGUAACGCGUAGGUAACCUGCCUGGUAGCGGGGGAUAACUAUUGGAAACGAUAGCUAAUACCGCAUGACAACAGUUAUUGCAUGAUAACUGUUUAAAAGGGGCAACUGCUCCACUACCAGAUGGACCUGCGUUGUAUUAGCUAGUUGGUGAGGUAACGGCUCACCAAGGCGACGAUACAUAGCCGACCUGAGAGGGUGAUCGGCCACACUGGGACUGAGACACGGCCCAGACUCCUACGGGAGGCAGCAGUAGGGAAUCUUCGGCAAUGGACGGAAGUCUGACCGAGCAACGCCGCGUGAGGGAAGAAGGGUGUCGGAUCGUAAAGCUCUGUUGUAAGAGAAGAACGAGUGUGAGAGUGGAAAGUUCACACUGUGACGGUAUCUUACCAGAAAGGGACGGCUAACUACGUG
rnacentral:rRNA from 1 species